GUGCUUGACUUGACAGCAUAUAUGCUAAAAUUGGAACGAUACAGAGAAGAUUAACAUGGCCCCUGGGGAAGGAUGACAUGCAAAUUUAUGAACCAUUCCAUAUAAAA
rnacentral:snRNA from 1 species